CUGUUCAACGGCCGCGGUAUCCUAACCGUGCGAAGGUAGCGUAAUCACUUGUUCUUUAAAUGAGGACUAGUAUGAAUGGCAUCACGAAGGUUAUACUGUCUCCUCUUUCCAAUCAGUGAAACUAAUCUCCCCGUGAAGAAGCGGGGAUAACUUUAUAAGACGAGAAGACCCUAUGGAGCUUUAAACUAAGAAUCAACUGACUUUUCCACUUUUAAAUUCCAGAAAACUAACUUUUACCAAGACACUCUGAUUUCUAGUUUUAGGUUGGGGUGACCACGGAGUAAAAACUAACCUCCGCAAUGAACAGGGAUCUUCCCUUAACCAAGGACCACAACCCUAAGAAUCAACACAUUGACAUCAAUUGACCCAAAAAUUUGAUCAAUGAACCAAGUUACCCUAGGGAUAACAGCGCAAUCCACUUUAAGAGCCCUUAUCGACAAGUGGGUUUACGACCUCGAUGUUGGAUCAGGGUAUCCCAGUGGUGCAGCCGCUACUAAUGGUUCGUUUG
rnacentral:rRNA from 1 species